CCUACGGGUGGCAGCAGUGAGGAAUAUUGGUCAAUGGCCGAGAGGCUGACCCAGCCAAGUCGCGUGAGGGAAGACGGCCCUACGGGUUGUAAACCUCUUUUGUAGGGGAGAAAAGCGAACCACGUGAGGAUCAUUGAGAGUACCCGAAGUAAAAGCAUCGGCUAACCCAGUGACAGGAGACGCGGUAAUACGGAGGAUGCGAGCGUUAUCCGGAUUUAUUGGUGUAAAGGGGUGCGCAGGCGGAGUUGCAAGUCAGGGGUCAAGUCGCGGGGCUCAACCCAGUACUGCCGUUGAAACUGUAUCCCUUGAGUGCGCGAGAGGUAUGCGGAAUGCGUGGUGUAGCGGUGAAAUGCAUAGAUAUCACGCAGAACACCAGUUGCGAAGGCAGCAUACCGGCGUGCAACUGACGCUCAUGCACGAAAGCGUGGGUAUCGAACAGGAUUAGAUACCCCUGUAGUC
rnacentral:rRNA from 1 species